GACAGUGGGUCCAUGGUUAUGCACUGGGGCGAAUAAUAGCACACAAUGGCGGGACAUUUGAAAAGCGGAUGGGACAGAUGAGAUUGGAAUGCAAGCCUAUAUAUACGACGACAACAACAGCAAUGCGCAGAGAAUUAAGUAAUGAAUUUACACAGGCGGCACGUGUUCUCAUACAAGGCAUCCGUUUGGAUUCUCUUUUGCUGAUAUGAGAGGAAAGUAAAGAUGGAAACUUCAAGGACUGAUUUCGCCUGUGAUUUCAAACACUUUUGAUGCCCAGGCGUGGCUCCAGGAAUAGAAAAGUUAGUUGGUCACAUUGACGACAAGCAUCGUCAUCACUUCUGUAUGUUCCAACCCGACAAUGAAGACCGCCCUCUAGACUACGUCCUGGUAAUUGUCGUCCGUGGUAUUCCUUCAGGAUCAACAUCGAAUUCCAUACCCGUAUGCUGUGACUCUUCAUUAACGGGCUGCCUUUGACUUUGCGCAAGAAUUGACCUGGUGUGGACCAAGACUUCAACACCUUUUGGUGGUCAACGAUUGCUGACCACCUCGAUGCAUCAUGGGGAGCAAACUUGAAGUGGAAUAGGCUUACGCCGUCCAUGUGGCCUGGUCAGCGAGGAAGAUAGCAUGUUUUCAACAGAAGAUGAUGGCGGGUCAGGUACGGUUGAUAGGAGAAUGUUGCUUGGAAGGCACCCACGUGUUAUCUUACGAUGAGAUGGAUGGGGUACGACGUCAUUGGUGACCGGUCUAUUCGAUUUUCCACUUAAUGACCCAAUUUCCACACGUGAGAAGGAGGAUGUGGAUAGAGGAUUUCGGUCGACGAAUAUACCAUCCCCAUCCCCAUGCAUAAAUGAAGGUUUACCCGAUGCAGUCUCAUCAUGAUGAGGGGUGACCAAGGAUCCAGUUGGUCUUCUGCACGUCUUCCGCUGGACCAAGCCCGAGUGACUUCACAAUACACGAUGGGAGUGUUCCCAUGGAAUGCUAAGAUAGGACGGUCAUCGUCAUAAAAUAGGUCAACCAAAUUUUGCUCACUAGCUUCCUUAAUUUUGCAUGCGACAACGUUACUCUUUCCUAUGAUCUGUUUAAGGAGUUUUUCAUGGCGUUAUUCAGAUAAAAUAACGUAAAAUUGGUCAAGAACAUGGUAACACAACCAUCCCUACCUUCUGUAGGGAAUCUUUGUAUUUAACACAUUACCUGUAUAUCGAUUCUCAAACUGAAUUCCGUUUAGUAUUCACGGGGACAUUCCCAUGCUGUAAUGUAAAGUCUCUAAUAUUCUCAAGAAGUCGUUUUCUUUAUGUUUGUUCCAUGCGAAACAUGUUCACAAAGAUUGUUAAAUGCUUCAUGAGGAUUUCUGGAGAAACACUGCAUUCGGAGUUCAGUCUUUGCAGGGUUCAUAAAGAUUAUUAUUAUAUAUUUUUUUUCAAAUGCUACCAGAGGGCGACAGGUUUAGGGGGACAGAAAAAAGGGGAGGAAGAAAAAUAAUAUUUUUUAUGAUACAAAAGAUAAUAGCAAUUGUUCUGAAAUGAAGCUUGGGUUUUAAUUCCACAAUUUUCUUUAGCUCAGAUGUUUUGCUCACACGCCUACUUUUUUUUUUUUUUUUUUUUAGAUGUCCUUCAGGAUGUCAUUAGAUUUUACAGCACUUGAAGGUUAAAUAUACUUUCCAUAUUUGUGAUUUCGCAAAGGAAACAGCAUAGUCGGUGGAAGUAGGGGGACAGGAUCAUUCUACAAUUUCUAUAAAAACUCUGUGGGAUAAGACCACAUUCUAUCGAAAAUUUUGAUAACCUCCUUAUAAUUUAGCCCCCCCCCCAAAAAAAAAAAAAAAAGGUGGAAGCUUGCGAUUUUCCAUUAAAAAUUUAUCUUUGAAUUGAAAAGAAAUAUAACGAGUCUCUCCAUUCUAUGUGUGGCCGCAAAUAUCUUACUGUAGGUUCAAGCUCCUAUAUUUAUAGGUGGGACAAUCGUUAAAAGUCGUCCCUCCCAACGAUUCGGAGUUCGACCGGAGGGAGGGACGGGAGACUAGCAUUAAAAUUGAGAUAUUUCCACCAAACUUGGACUUUCAAUCAAAAUCUAAAUCCCAAAACGCCAUUGCGCUUUAUGCCCAUAAAAGUUUCAAAACAUACACUGAAAUCAAAUGGCAAAGAUCAAAACUUUCCGUGUUUCAGUUUUAAAUAAUAGAGCCUAUUAAUUUGGGAGUAGAAUCAGCGAAAAUGAGAAAUACGUCCCUUCUUCUGCCGGCUAUGCUGCGGACAUACAAUCAGGGUAUCUGAUUUAAAGCUCAAGUCCACUCCAGAAAAAUGUUGAUUUGAAUAAAUAGAGAAAAAUCAAACUAGCAAAACGCUGAAAAUUUAAUCAAAAUCGGAUGUAAGAUAAGAAAGUUGUGAGUCCAUGGGUGUCGAUCGGUAUUCUUGGUUGGGGGGGAUGAUUGACACAAAUGUUCUUGUGGAUGGGGAUCUUUCAACAUUACCCCCACUAAAAUCACAAGUUAGUGCAUUUGGGAGUGGUUGAUAUGCAUGGUGUUCUUGCAGUGGCGUACCGUGAGUCACGGCAUGGGGGGGGGGCCACCAGCAAAAUUUUUGAGUCACUUAGUGAGCGCGCGAAGCGCGCUCAGUUGCCAGGUAUACUGACCUAAUAGGGACAGUUUAAGGACAGUGCCAUUAAACGGAUAUGUAUCUCACUGCCCAAAUAAUGCGAGCGCGAAGCGCGAGCUGAAAAUGUUUGAUAUGCAGACCAAAAAAGGACAUUAUAAGCAAAUGAGCGCGAAGCGCGAGCUGAAAAUUUAGGAUAUUCAGACC